rnacentral:rRNA from 1 species
ACACAUGCAGUCGAGCGGAGAUGAGGUGCUUGCACCUUAUCUUAGCGGCGGACGGGUGAGUAAUGCUUAGGAAUCUGCCUAUUAGUGGGGGACAACAUUCCGAAAGGAAUGCUAAUACCGCAUACGUCCUACGGGAGAAAGCAGGGGAUCUUCGGACCUUGCGCUAAUAGAUGAGCCUAAGUCGGAUUAGCUAGUUGGUGGGGUAAAGGCCUACCAAGGCGACGAUCUGUAGCGGGUCUGAGAGGAUGAUCCGCCACACUGGGACUGAGACACGGCCCAGACUCCUACGGGAGGCAGCAGUGGGGAAUAUUGGACAAUGGGGGGAACCCUGAUCCAGCCAUGCCGCGUGUGUGAAGAAGGCCUUAUGGUUGUAAAGCACUUUAAGCGAGGAGGAGGCUACUGAGACUAAUACUCUUGGAUAGUGGACGUUACUCGCAGAAUAAGCACCGGCUAACUCUGUGCCAGCAGCCGCGGUAAUACAGAGGGUGCGAGCGUUAAUCGGAUUUACUGGGCGUAAAGCGUGCGUAGGCGGCUUUUUAAGUCGGAUGUGAAAUCCCCGAGCUUAACUUGGGAAUUGCAUUCGAUACUGGGAAGCUAGAGUAUGGGAGAGGAUGGUAGAAUUCCAGGUGUAGCGGUGAAAUGCGUAGAGAUCUGGAGGAAUACCGAUGGCGAAAGCAGCCAUCUGGCCUAAUACUGACGCUGAUGUACGAAAGCAUGGGGAGCAAACAGGAUUAGAUACCCUGGUAGUCCAUGCCGUAAACGAUGUCUACUAGCCGUUGGGGCCCUUUGACGCUUUAGUGGCGCAGCUAACGCGAUAAGUAGACCGCCUGGGAGUACAGUCGCAAGACUAAACUCAAUGGAUUGACGGGGCCCGCACAAGC